AAGGAUUUAAGUUAAAGAGUAAACUAUUAGCCUUCAAAGCUAAAAAUAGAGAUAAUAUCUAAGCCUUA
rnacentral:tRNA from 2 species